AUCCAGCUAACGAGUCUCAAAUAGGACGAAACAGGCGUCCUCGAU
rfam:Schistosoma curassoni strain Dakar, Senegal genome assembly, scaffold: SCTD_scaffold0000004